UCUCCGUUGGUGAACCAGCGGAGGGAUCAUUGCCGAGUCUCACGACUCCCAAACCAUCGCGAACCUACCAGUACGUUGCCUCGGCAGAGCCUACCCGGUAACUGUUCGGAGAAGCUACCCUGUAGCUACCCUAUAACGGCCUACCCUGUAACGCACUGCCGGUGGACUUUUAAACUCUUGUUAUUUUAUAGUAAUCUGAGCGUCUUAUUUUAAUAAGUCAAAACUUUCAACAACGGAUCUCUUGGUUCUGGCAUCGAUGAAGAACGCAGC
rnacentral:misc_RNA from 1 species